rnacentral:pre_miRNA from 1 species
CGACGGGAAAGAGUGAAGCUGCCAGCAUGAUCUAGAUUGGAUUGAUUUCUCUCAGUUUAAUGGAUUCAAUCUAGGCUAGGUCAUGCUUGGUCAGCCUCACUUCUUCCUUUC